CAGACCCUCCCUCCCAGACCAACCUACUUCCUGUACAUGGAUGCUGUCCAGGAAGUAGGAUGGUCUGGGAGGGAGGGUCUGCU